AUCAAUUCUCUCAAUCAAUUGAAGACAAAUUGAUUUCUCUUUAAAUCUCAAAACCUAAUCAAAUUGAUUUCUGCAGGCUAUCAUCUUUCACCCACAUUCAAUUUUACAAACCCUAAAUCUCAUCUACGGCUUCAUCUUUAGCGAUUGUACUUGGCCAUACCCACUUCAGAAAUCCCUAAAACUCAAUCAUUCGAACUCUCAUUUAGCUUUCAUUGAAUUCAGUGCUAAGAACCCAAAAUCUAUAGAACCGGGUGAACAUUGAUAUGAUAGUGGCCUAUAUUAGGUUGGCCAUAGUUCAAGCUGGAGGUUUUCCGAUCAUCUUUAUGCUUUUGAGAUCUGAUUCAUACAUUUUCUUCACUACAGAGAGAUUUUAAUUUUAUUGAUCAUACAAGUAUUCCCGGAUGGAAAGAAUAAGAUAAAGUUGAUUGGUAAAGUUUGAGAUGCAUUGUUUGAAAGAAGCAAUCUGAAUCAUCUCUCUCAGAUCCUAUAUCGCAUAUGCUAAUGAUUUUUAAUCGACUGUGGUGAUUCGACUUGGUCACACUUUGCCACAAACGGGUCAAAUGGUUAAAUUUUCAUGGGCUUUUGGAAAUAAUGUCCAAGAAUUCAAUGAUUUGAAACGAGGAUCCUGCACUUCGUCAGGAAAUCGACCUUGAAGAUGAAAGAGUUGCAGGCACAUUGCAUUCUGUAUAGAUUGUGGAGUUUUAAUUGUAAAGGUUUACACCUGUGUUGCAAAACUCAAAUUAUAUGACCUUUUGCUACAUCUUGCCGUAUAGCAUAGGCAUUAGAGUUAUCCGAUGAGAAACCAAAGGGCAAGGCAACCAUACAUUAUCAGCUUCGGCUUGCAGGUGGUAACUUUGUUCUAAGUGGUGGCAAUCAUGGGAGAAGGAUAUCAACAUGAAAGAAAUGGAACAACAGUUGCAUGAGCAUGUGGGUCUACUAAGACAGAGUGAAUUAAUAAGAAUAAAUGCCAAGAAGGAGCUUAAAGAAAUGGAACUACAGUCACAAUUGGAUUGGCCUCAUAUGAUGAGCCGAAAGACAAGGGGGUACAUGCACUAAUCGGCCUUUGUCUCAAUUGUUGAGUGUUAUGUGCCUUAUGUCCAAAGCUUGACGCAAAACUACUAUUUAGCCAGGGGUCUCACUGGAAGCAGCCGCUUUAUUCUUAUGGGGUAGAGGUAAGGCGUUCUACAUCUUACCCUUCCCAUACCCUACCUUAGAUUUGCUAUUGGUGGGAUUUACUAAGUAUGAUGAUGAUGAUGAUCAUUUUAUACGCAUUUAAAAUGUCAAUGUGGGUUAAUCGAUUUAUUGCUUUAGUUUAUAUAUGCAUCUAAAAUGUCAAUCAUUCUUUAUUCUUUAUGAAUUCCUUCUUCAAUUUAUUAUUUUAGUUUAAGAAUAACUAUUUUAUAACAGGUUUUAGAAGCUUACAAAGUAUCAUGUGAAAAAUAUGUUAUAUUUUUCCUAGGCUGUGGCCUCUGCACCUAUCUUUAUUCUUUCAUGCUUGACUAUGUAUAAUGAACUAUGUAUAUUGUCAUAAUUUCACAUAAAAGAAAUAACGAUAUCUAAUUCUCUUGGUGUUAAUGAGCUGGUGAUUCCUGCAAUACCUGAACUUUACAAAACAUGGACCAAAGUGCUUGGCUUCAAGCAACUUGAUGAAUCGUUGAGGCAUGCAAUGAAGGGUAUGCGUUUGAUAGUGUUUCCUGUUAAAGAUAUAUGCUUCGCCAACCUCUCCUAAAGAAUCAGUUUGCUGAUAAGAAUCUUAUUUCAGUGCAGGUUGAAGUGAAAAGGAUACUUCCCAGAGAGGAUACACAGGGAAGUUGAGGUGUAUCAAGAACAAAGAAAAUAUUUGUUGGUGAUGAAUUGGGGGAAUAGUUUUCCAUAUAUGGUGGUAUUGUUGAGCAUUAGAUCAUUUCACGGGUUGAUCACCAGGCUUUGGCUUUGUCACAUUUGACAACAAAGAAGUUGUGGAUUAGUUAUUUGUUGAUGGUCAACUACAUGAACUAGGAGAGGCAAACAAAUAUACUUCCAACAAUCAGUUGCACAGGCAGUCAUGAAUUCAAGAUUUGGCAGUCAUCAGGGGCGGAUCUAUAGAGGACCAAGGGGUAGCCUCCGCUACCGCUUGAUCGGAAAAUUUUUGACGUUUUUAGUGUAAAUUUUGGAAAAAUUUGACGUUUUUUCGAUUUCGUUACCGCCUAUUUAUAAAACGUUCCCGCUUGGUCGGAAUCCUAGAUCCGCCACUCGCAGUCAUGUUGCAGGUUGUUGGAGAGAAAUUAGGGUUUUGAAAUGGGAUUGAUUUGGGGAAGA